UUAAUUUUUAUUUUUCUACUUAUCUUUGCUAUUACUCUUUUGCUAUAUAUUUUAGUAUCAUUUUAAAGAAUUACAAAAUACAUCAUUAGUUUGUUACAAUUUACCUUAAAUUAGCCUUUCAUGGUUUCCUGAGAAAUGCAAUAAUGCCACAAGUCCAUUUACUGCUAUCUGACUUUUCUUCUACUGCUGUUCUAUAUUUCACUUGUAUAUAUGGUAUAGACACACAUGACUCUUACUAUUCUUGCUUUAAAAACCAGAUUAUUUUAAGAGUAAUUAGCCUUUUAUAUUUACCCAAAGAUUUACAUUUUUCAGAGCUGAAAAUUUUUUACCUCUCUGUUCUCUCAUCUGAACUAAUUUUCCUUCAGCCUGAAGAAUAAUAUCCCUUUGUUAUUUUCAUAUUGUGGGUCUGUUGCUGAUAAGUCCUCUCAGAUUUUGUUUGUCUGGAAGUAUCUCUAUUUUAUUUUCAGUUUUGAAGGAUAUUUUCAUUCAUGAAUUCUAAAUUGGUAGUUAUUUUUUCCAGUCCUUCAAGAUGCCAUUCAAUUCCUUCUGGCUUUCACAUAGCUUCUGCUGAGAGACUCAGUAGUUUUUCUUAUUUUUCAUUACCCUGAAGGAAAUGUGCUUUUAAAAAAAACCUAGUAACUUUCAGCAUUUUGACUCUGAUGUGUCUUUUGACUUUCAGCAUUUUGACUUUUAGCAUUUUGAUUUUGAUGUGUCUGGACCUCAUUCUUCUUGAACCUCAGUGAAGCUCUUGAAUUCGUGGCUUGGUGUAUUUCAUCUGAAUUGGAAAAUUUAACAAACAUUACUUUUUUAUUUAUUGCUUCUGUUCCAUCCUCCUUUUGGGGGGCAAAUUCUAAUUGCACAUAUGUUACAACAUUCGACUAUGCCUCAAAUCUCCCUUCUUGUCUGUUCUUUAUCUUAUUUGUUUUUUUCUAUACUUCAGUUUGUAUUUCCCACUGAUUUGUGAUUGAGGUCAACCUGCAUUUACUAUGUCCACAGUAUUGUUAAACCAGGUAGAAGACUUCUUACUUUUGGAUACUAUAUUUUUCAGCUGUAGAAUGUUUGUUUUUUUAAAAAGACGAUUCUAAAUUUCUACCUGCCCACACUGGCCAUGGUCAAAGCUGGGGGCCACACGUGCUCCAGGUUACUCCAGGGCAGGAUGUGGAAACCGUGGCCAGGCCACAGUGGGCCAGCUCCCCGGAGGGCACCUGCCAUGGAUACUCUUGCUAAGACAGUGAUGUCACAACGGGGCCACAGCCCACCCAGGGCUGAUUGAUAGUCCUGAGUACCUGGGAACUUGUUUCUGCCAGUGCAGACUCUUUGUCUGUCUCAUUACCUGGUGCACCUCAAACGCCUUGAAAUGGACUUGGCGUACGGUGCUCAAUAAAUACCGCCGAAUGAAACAAUUAGUAAAGAGGAUCUGUCCCUCAAUAUCAGAUUUUGGAUCUCCAAAUCACAAGAGAAGGUGGACGAAACUGACCCCAGUGCAUAACACAGAAUAUUGGGAUCUGACUGGUCUCUGAACCACUGGGAGAUGGAUGAGUGGCAACUUAAAAUUCAAUUCAUCAGAUUCCCUGACUCUCCAAGAACCUGCUCUUUGUCACUGGCCUCCCCCACAGAUGAUCUACAGGGAGAGACAGACUGCUAGUCGGACACGACUGAGCGACUUCACUC